GGGAAAGCGGAGGGCGCGCCCCGCUCCCGGGCCGACUGCGCUAACAGCGGCCCCGGUGUUGGGGUGCGUCUGCCGCUGCCCC
rnacentral:miRNA from 1 species